rnacentral:tRNA from 1 species
AGCCCCGUAGUCUAGCGGUCAAGGAUAUCGGCUUUUGGAGCCGACGGCCCAGGUUCGAAUCCUGGCGGGGCUA